GAUGAACGCUGGCGGCGUGCCUAAUACAUGCAAGUCGAGCGAACGGACGAGAAGCUUGCUUUUUUGAUGUUAGCGGCGGACGGGUGAGUAACACGUGGAUAACCUACCUAUAAGACUGGGAUAACUUCGGGAAACCGGCGCUAAUACCGGAUAAUAUUUUGAACCGCAUGGUUCAAAAGUGAAAGACGGUCUUGCUGUCACUUAUAGAUGGAUCCGCGCUGGAUUGGCUAGUUGGUAAGGUAACGGCUUAUCAAGGCAACGAGGCAUAGCCGACCUGAGGGAGGGAUCGGCCACACGGGAGGUGGAACACGGUCAUGGGGCCUACGGGAGGCAGCAGUAGGGAAUCUGCCGCAGUGGGCGAAAGCCUGACGGAGCAACGCCGCGUGAGUGAUAGAGGUCUUCGGAUCGUAAAACUCGGUUAUGAGUGAAGAACAUAUGUGUAAGUAACUGUGCACAUCUUGACGGUACCUAAUCAGAAAGCCACGGCUAACUACGUG
rnacentral:rRNA from 1 species